UGUUAAUAUUUUAUCCACUAAGAAAUGCUCUUUAAUUCUGACUGUGUUUUUAGAGAAAGAAGAGUUUUUAAGGCUUUUCAAUAUUAGGGUUAAGAUGAAAGGAAAAGAUUUCCAUUUGCACAGUAAGUUCACACCUAUAAAUGUUUCCUCUGCUCCAGUUACAUAGCAAUACUAAAUGAAAAUAUAAAAGUGGCUAAGGACAGUAGUCUCCAUGACUAAGGAGGAAGGUACAGAAGAAAGCUCAGCUCACAGCUUAAUCAGCAUCGCUCAUAGCACCCGCUAUGGAAGAGAUGCAACAAUCUCCAACCAGCAUUCUACUAUUCAGUUACAGUUGAGACAUGGAGGGAGUAUAACUGUACAACUAGUAAGCAGCAGACGAGUGAUGUCGAGAGAGGUUAAAACAUGCGUGGAGUUUUACUUCAUAGAUGAAGAAACUGAAGUUCACGGAGGUUGAGUGACCAACUGAGAUUCACAGGUUCUAGGAAUCUUGGAGAGCCAUCUACUCACAGGGAGGACAUUAAAGCAACCAUACACAGAUACAUAUAUGGAGAGCAGCUGAUGGCCCAAACAGUGGCUGAUGCCAACUAGAAGUCGUGUGAUUGAACCAUAUUGGAAGGUGAUCCUCCAGCUAUAGAGAGACUUUGGAUGAUACAGCAUCAAUUCAGUCUCAUGAGAGACCUUGAACCAGAGCAAUACAGUCUGAAUUCACAACCUGCAGGAACUGAGGGAUAAUAUGGAAGUGAUCUGUCAUAUGGUAUGGGUAGCUAACACAGUCAUAGAUCUAUAUGGGGACAUUGUGAGCAUGUGAGAAGCUAAGGAAGCCUUGAGAGGGUGUAUGAAGCCCUGCACAGCCAUGUCAAGGACCCAUUGCUUCAGAUACAUGGACAUGGCAAAGCCAUCUUCUGGUCUGAAUGGGAGUAUUGGCAGUGUGUGUAAAAACUAGCAAACUCAGCUUCUUCCUCCCAGAGGACUGCAUUCUGAGACUUCUCACCUACAGAGACCUCUUUCAGAUACUGUAAAACCCUGCCUGUGCUGUAGGGAAUAAAAUUGCUGAAGGGUCCAGUU